rnacentral:rRNA from 1 species
UACUCGAGUGGCGAACGGGUGAGUAACACGUGGGUGAUCUGCCCUGCACUUCGGGAUAAGCUUGGGAAACUGGGUCUAAUACCGGAUAGGAGCCAUCUUUAGUGUGGUGGUUGGAAAGUUUUUUCGGUGUAGGAUGAGCUCGCGGCCUAUCAGCUUGUUGGUGGGGUAGUGGCUUACCAAGGCUUUGACGGGUAGCCGGCCUGAGAGGGUGACCGGCCACAUUGGGACUGAGAUACGGCCCAG